UGGGGAAUAUUGCACAAUGGGCGCAAGCCUGAUGCAGCAACGCCGCGUGAGGGAUGACGGCCUUCGGGUUGUAAACCUCUUUUAGUAGGGAAGAAGCGAAAGUGACGGUACCUGCAGAAAAAGCACCGGCUAACUACGUGCCAGCAGCCGCGGUAAUACGUAGGGUGCGAGCGUUGUCCGGAAUUAUUGGGGCGUAAAGAGCUCGUAGGCGGUCUGUCGCGUCUGCUGUGAAAACCCGAGGCUCAACCUCGGGCCUGCAGUGGGUACGGGCAGACUAGAGUGCGGUAGGGGAGAAUGGAAUUCCUGGUGUAGCGGUGGAAUGCGCAGAUAUCAGGAGGAACACCGAUGGCGAAGGCAGUUCUCUGGGCCGUAACUGACGCUGAGGAGCGAAAGCGUGGGGAGCGAACAGGAUUAGAUACCCUGGGUAGUCCACGCCGUAAACGUUGGGCGCU
rnacentral:rRNA from 1 species